CUCACUCUUUAGGUCCACGCUGCUUUUAUGAGCUGUAACACUCACCGCGAAGAUCUGCAGCUUCACUCCUGAGCCCAGCGAGACCACGAGCCCACCGGGAGGAACAAACAACUCCAGACGCGCUGCCUUAAGAGCUGUAACACUUGCCGUGAAGGUCUGCAGCUUCACUCCUGAGCCAGCGAGACCACGAACCCACCAGAAGGAAGAAACUCCGAACACAUCUCAACAUCAGAACGGACAGACUCCAGACGCACCACCUUAAGAGCUGUAACACUCACCGCGAGGUUCCGCGGCUUCAUUCUUGAAGUCAGUAAGACCAAGAACCCACCAAUUCCGGACACAGUAGCAUUUGGGAAUAAUAAGAAUUGUAGCUGGGCAUGGUGGUACACGCCUGUAGACCCCUAGCAGCUGCCAUCAUCCUCACCAUCCGCAUAUUAUUGAUAUAUUAACUCUUUGAUGGCAACCAUAGCUUAUCCCCCUUAUCUCCCUAUGCCCUACAGCAGGGCAGUGGAAUGGUUAAGAGGCUUUGAAGUCUAAGAGUGCUGGCUUAAAACCCUAAUUUGUCAUUUUGGAUGUGUGGCUUUGGACACUUGGGGCAGGUCACCUAUGUUCUUCAAGCCCUGUAUCCUUAUCUGUCAGAUGAUGAUUUUUUUUUUUUUAGACGAAGUCUCACUCUCUUGCCCGGGCUGGAGUGCAGUGGCAUGAUCUCGGCUUACUGCAAGCUCCACCUCCCGGGUUGACGCCAUUCUCCUGCCUCAGCUUCCUGAGUAGCUGGGACUACAGGCUCCUGCCACCACCCGUGGCUAAUUUUUUUGUAUUUUUAGUAGAGACAGGGUUUCACCAUGUUAGCCAGGAUGGUCUCGAUCUCCUGACCUCGUGAUCUGCCCGCCCCAGCCUCCCAAAGUAUCAGAUGAUUUUAACAACUAUGCUUCCAUGACUUGCUGGGCUAGAUGAUAUGACUGUAAAAUGCCUAACCCAUGGUUUAGCAUCAAGUAAGCAAAUUGUAAAUGGUAGCACUGCUCUGCCUAUGACUAUUUAGUCUUGUGCUUUAAACUCAAAUAUUUGUUGGCCUACUGAAGUCACCACACAGAGAAAGAUGCUUUUCAUUCUCAGUAAAGAACUUUGGGAGAUAACUGGGGCAGGCAGCAAGAGAACAGAUGUCAUAUGUCUAGCAUCAGCAAACUCAUCAGAACUGAUGGGCAGCUCACUUUGCUUAGAACCUGCACCAGCAUACACACGGGGCUGCUUCCCAGUCACACUGCUCCUGGGAAGGUAGGGGGGCUGCUGUUCUGCAAUUAGCGCGGUUCUUUACCUCCUAUUACCGAACUGCCAGAGUUCAUUUGUGUUCAGUUAGGUAGAUGACCAAUUCUUGUUCAUUCCUAUUUUCUUUUGCUCACUAAUGUGUUUAACGUUCACUAACCUACCAAAUGUGAUUUAUUAGCGACUUUUUCUUUGAAGAUGGAGUGGAGGAAUCCUAGCGCUUUCUGCAACAUGCUACUGCUGUUAUGGAACAGUGCAGAUAUGGAAGUGCAUCAGCCGGGGAUGGGGAGAGGCUAGGGCAGUACAUGUGAAUGGAGAGGUAGCCCCACCAGUGUGUUUUCUGAAAUACAGUCCCGCAGAGGGCAGUCUUGGGAAAUUACUGUUCUCACACACUCUUCUUGACCCUACCCCUCCAGCACCUCCCUUGCUAUCCAAGGGUUGGGAUUUUUAAAAAGAAAAACAAAUUUUAAAAAAAGCAGUGUGAAUCUUUUGCCAUCUUGUAAGGGUGAAAAGCCCCCUACCAAGUCGGGAUGAACAUUCAUGCGUGUGCUUGAGGGCUUGGGAAAAAGACAGGGCUUGGCCCCACAGUGCAGGUAGGCCCAGUGAUCCUAUAAUAGGGGCCAGGAGAUGGGAGGUCCCCUGUGGGCAGGAGUUCAAGUAUGUGGUAUUAUAUGACUGGUGCUUGAUGAACCCAGGGAGAGGGCACCAAAAACAAUGGUAUUUAAUUGUAAAAUCUCCACCCCCUGAGGAUAUGUUUUCAGGUCUGGGUGACUAAUUAGACUGGGAAACAAGGGCAGGAACGAUGGCCCUGUGCUUGCUCUGCCCGCUGCCUCUGUGGAUGUGUGGGCUGCUGGCUUCAGUCCUGCUUUUCUUUCUGAUGGUAUUGUUUAUGCUAUGUGUUUUUGCAGGAGGCCUGAGGUGGGCUGGGUUCUCCUCCUAUGGCAGGGCUUCACUCUCCUCCUCCUUCUCUGUUGGGGCUUCACUGUCCCUGGGAUAAGAAUAACAAUGCCAAGGUUUUCAUUCUUGAAAGGAGCAAUUAAGCGUCUCACCCCCUCCUCAUUUUAGAUGGGAACUGUGAGGGUCCCGUCAUUUACCCAGGGUCCCUGUUGAGGAUCUUGUCCUCAUUAGAUGACUUCUUGUGCAGCUUCCAUGCGUGAUUCUUUACUCUUGUGGCACUGAGAGGUUUGUACAUGUCUUUAAGCCAGAGCGGCUUUCUGAAUGAAAAAAGUCCAUCCUAGAAGAUAGAAAGGGAAAUAUUAAUUUUGCAUGUCCUCUGCUUUCCCUGGUCACAGCAAUGAAUCCUCCAAUGUACCUGACUCUCCCUUUGCGAAGAGCAUCUCCGUGGCAGAAAUCUGAAAAUGCCCCUGGGGAGACACAUGCACAAGACAGUGAGUGAUGCAGCCGUUUCCCACGUAUCUCACAAUGUACUUCUCUGGUCUUAUUAGAACUAAAUGAGUAUCUCAGUCCAUAAUCACAGGGAGAAGAACCACCACAGACCACAUACCUGGGGUCUUGAAAAUAAUUCCAUGCAUGUGGGACUUUCAGAAGCUCUCCAUGUCUGUCCAGAAGGGCCCCACAAUAUACUGGGGGGACUUUGUAUGUGGCUCAGCAUGGAGCAGGGGCAGGAUGUUCAUUCCCACUCAUCCCCUUGGCCAAGUGCCCUUGUGCAGUGAACAAACUGCACAACCAUGCUGGGCAGAAGCAUUUUAUAUCAGUCCCCUUCGGACUUAGUCUCACAGGCAUCAUUUGAUGGGGGGUGGGAGAUGAAGUGGUUCUUCCUUUUCUAGAUACUUUAUUCUAUAAGUUGGAUCACCUCAAGCAAAUGCCUGAGUGCAGCUAGCCAAGUUCUCUAUCUCACAGUCUUCAUACAGCUGGCUGUCGCUGAUGAGUGAGUGAGCUGCGAAAUCAGCUUAAACCACAACAUGUUAUUUUUGAAUUUGAAUAAAAUAGGAAAAGGCAGAGUGCAUUGUGUGACCAUGGGGUAAGACACUCUCCCUUUCUCCUUCUCAGUUUUCCUGUCAUAAAAGGACAAACUACUAUCUAAGUUCUCCGUAGUUAAAAUUCUUUUUUGUUGUUUUUUUUUAUUUGAGACAGUUUGGCUCGUUCCCCAGGCUGGAGUGCAAUGGUGCUAUCUUGGCUCCCUGCAACCUGCGCCUCCUGGUUUCAAGCAGUUCUCCUGCCUCAGCCUCCCAAAUAGCUGGGAUUACAUGCCUGUGCCACCACACCCAGCUAAUUUAGUAUUUUUAGUAGAGAUGGGGUUUCACCAUGUUGGUCAGGUUGGUCACGAGCUCCUAACCUCAAGUGAUCCCAAAGUGCUGUGAUUACAGGCGUGAGCCAUCCUGCCUGGCCUUUCUGGUUAAAAUUCUGUGAGGUUUGUGUAAAAGGAAUAGAGUGGGGGCGCAAAAACCAGUAAGAUGAGAAAAUAGUGUUUCCUCAGUUCUAGUAUCCAGGGGAAAAAAAGAAAAGAGAAAAUACUGUUUCCUGCCACUUAAGAGGAAGGACUCACAUAUCCUACCUUCCAUCAGCCUUGAAGGAGACAAGUGCCCUCUCUCUCACACCCGGUGGCCUUCCCUUCCCCUUUCCCAGAGCCUCCAAGAAGGCCCCUGGCCUGGCCUGAUGCCCACCAUCAGCAGCAAUAGGCACCAAAACCUUUCUCCUUCCUAUCCCUCCCCACCUCCCAAAAGGGCUGGGGACAGCAGGUGUAUCCUUGUUAGUUCCAUCAUGAGACAGCACAUUCCUACAAUGUCGUACAGAUGUAAAUUCUCAAAUUAAUCUACAAAUUUAACGUAAUCCUAUUCAAAUCCCAAGAUAGUUUUUGGUGGUGGCUGUUUUUAAGACAGGGCCUCGCUGUGUUGCCCAGGCUAGAGUGCAGUGGUACGACCACAGCUCACUGCAUCCUCGACCUCCCAGGCUCAAGCGAUCCUCCCACUUCAGCCUCUGAAGUCUCUCAUAUGGUGUCCAAGAAAUGGUGACAAAUCUCACAAAGGGACUAGGCUCAGCACGGCUGGAAUAUUCAGGGAAGGUGUCAAGAAGAAAGAUGAACUUGUGUUGGCUUUUGAGAGAUGCAUAGGACUCCCACAGGCAGAGUGAAAUAAGGGCAUUUUAGAUGGACAAACACACAGACAGAAGCAGAAAUGUGGGUGGUGUGACUGGGGUAUAGUGAGGGGCUGCUGUGGCUGGAAUGGAGGGCUGCCACAAUAAUGGAAAUGGUAAAUGAGGCAAAUAAGGUUGGACUGGUGGCAUAGCGUCAAGGUUGCCAGCUUUAUUAAAUCACUCUUCCAAUAUGCUAGCACUGGCCUGUUGGGAAAAGUAAUAUAUCAUGUAAUCGAACAAAAGACAAACAGAGGCAAGCUCCAGGAAUGGGCACUGUAAACAGGACUUGCCCCAGAGUAGCCAGAUGUAGGCUUUAGAUAAGUUGAUGCAGGCUGAGCAUCUCUAAUCUGAGGGGGAAUGUCUCACAUGGUGUCCAAGAAAUGGUGACACAUCUCACAGAGGGUCUAGGCUCAGGAGGGCUAGAGUAUGAGACGUUCCCCCUCGCCUGUGAACUUAAAAAUGUGGCCAACAAUUUUUGUAAAAGAUGGCUACUCUGUAGUGCUUUAACUGGACCUAUUUAGACAAUGCCUUACACACUGGAGGACGAUACUGUGUAAAUCUAAUAAGUCUACAAGACAAUACUUCUGUCUUUUGGCUCUCUCCUUCCUCUCCAGGGUGAUGACAAAUCCGUGAGGGUGGAGAUUAUACCUCUCUCAUCAUUUCAGCACCAAGGAAAUAAAUUAGUGGCAGAGUAAGGGUGACUUGAUGAGUACAUCCAAUUGUUGACAUAGUUUUGGGUGGAGAAAUUUUGCUAUUAUAUCGACUUCUUAAAAUAGUCUAGUGGGAUUAACUUGGUUUCAAUUCACAGAGAUCUGGAAGCGAGGAUCUUUUAAAAAUCCUGAAAUAUACACUGCAAUAAAAGAACAAAGCAUACACCUCAGCCUUAAAUGACUGAAGAAGUAUGUCAAGUAGCAGCAGGUGGGAAAGUGGCUUUGGUUUUCAGUUUGUGAGCUCUGAAUCCACACAGAAACAGGACUGCAUUCUGACAACCUGAAUUAAUUAUUGUCCUUACCACAAUGAGGCAGAAAAGUAUAAUAAAAAUCAUUAGUAUUUCAGUCACAAUUAAUGCCAAGAUGAGUUUGUCAGUAUAGCCAUAUCCUGGAACUUAUUUUGUGAGCUAAAAAAAACAAAAAAACAAAACAAAAAAAAACACACCAGAAUGAGAGCUAACUAUUCAAAACCCCAGUAUUCCAGGUGAGUAGCUUACAGGUUCUUUUUUAUUUUUUUGAAAGAGGGUCUCACUCUGUUACCCAGGCUGGGGUACAGUGGUGCAAUCACCGUUCACUAGACUCGACCUCCCUGGGCUCAGGUGACCCUCCCACCUCAGCCUCCCAAGUAGCUGGGACUACAGGCACGUGUCAUCAACCCAGCUAAUUUUUUUAUUUUUUGUGGAGACAGGCUUUCACUAUGUUGGCCAAGCUGGUCUCAAACUCCUGACUUCAAGUAAUCCACCCACCUUGGCCUCCCAAAGUGCUGAGAUUACAGGCAUGAGCUACCACCCCUGGCCUACAGUUCAUCUUGUGCCCUAAUCUAUAUUUCACUCUCUACAUGAGCAAAGUGGGAGAUCACUGUCAUGACCAAAGUUACAUGGCCAAGAUAAGCUAUGGCCUGGGAGUCCCAGAUUCUUCUGUGUGGGCACUUUCCUGGGAUAUGCUAAAUGAUGGGAAAUCUGGGUCUCAUGUUUCUGUGUGGUCCUCACCUCAAGCGACUUCUCUUUCUGUUCACUCUGGGCUUCCGUGCUCUCAUUAAUGUAGUUCUGAGUCUUCCAUUGGUCCGUAUCCCAUUCUAUCUCAGAUGCCUUUACUUCCUGCUGCCCACUGAGAAGCUUCAUCAGGUGGCCUGUCCUGGAGAUGAGCUUGGCACAGGUCACUUGCACAUGGGCCCCAGAGCAGUCCAUCUUCAAGGUCCGGAUAACAUGAGAAAUGAGCCUUCUCACAUUGUUGGGGAUAAGGGACUGUAGCUGCUGGGUUAGCUGAAUUUCAAACUGAGCAAUGGGUAAUUGAAGCUUUUGGGCUCGGGGGACAGGUCAGUGCCCACGUUGUUGUAUUCCCAUUUUGUCUCAGUUUGUUUAACAGUUGGCCCUAAGUUGAAUGCAGUCCCAGCGGAAUCUGCCUCAGGAGGAUGAUUGUAGUUUGUGUUUUCAGAGAUGGUGACUUCUGGCAUGUUAGUGUUUUCCAUAAAAACAUUUUCUUCCAAGGCAUUUCUUGCAGUUGUGUCUUUUAUAUUAGUGGUUUCUAUAAAAUGUUCUGAAGGAGCAGAUACUUCCAGAAAAGGGUUUUCUUGAGGACUCAGGUCUCCUAAGGAUGAAAAAGCCCCUUGUGAAGGGGAAUUUAUGAGGCUCUUCGCUGCAGAGAACGGAGGCCUGUUUGCGAGCAUCAGUCUACUCAGAUAACUUUUCUUUCUGAACUUUGGACUCUUUUUGACCUUGGGUGUUCUGUGGGUCAUGCGGGAGCGAGUUUUGUGAAAGCGGUAUUUUUUUCUGGAAUGUGAAAUUGGUUUAGAAGCCUUCAUAUUUGUAACUCUAGCCUUUGCACUUUCUAAAAUGGAAAUAGUGUGUGUGUUGUCUUUCCAUCUGUCUCUCACCUGUGGUAGGGCUUUUGCAGGGCUGGAGGUAGAAGGCGCGCCCUUGGAGAAGGGUGUCAGCACAGAGACUGCUGCCUUAUGCUCUUGGGUGAACGAAGGCUUGGUGUAGAUGGCGUUUCCCGCUAACUUCUCAGGCCCCUGCUGUGUGUGAGGCUGUUCCAGCUCCCUUGGGGCUGGACUCCCGAGCCUUUUUUCUUCGGCAGCGUUCUCCACAGAUGCCUGGGCACCCUGUUCCCUCCUGAUGCUCUGCCUUCCCACCUCUUUGAAGUGCCUUUUCUGGAUGCUCCUUGGGCCCAUGAGGACUCUAUUCACUUUUUGCUGGUUUUGGCCUACAGUUUGAAUCUUUGCCAGGCUGUUUCCUGUGGUUGGCAGUUUAAUGAACGGUAGUAACAUUGAUUCCACAUCUAGGUUUACUGCUGAGAAAUAUGGCAAAUGUAACUUAGUGCACUGAUAACCUCACUCUCGUCAUUGGUGUCUAGCUGCUCACUCCCAAAGCCUGACAAGUUGAUGCCACUGCUGUCUGAGGGCUCCUCCGGCUCAACAGUCAGCUCAGUGCUUGUGUAAUUCUUCCGGGCUUGUAACGUCUUCAUGAAUGCUCCUUCUGGAUUCCCUACAGAUUCUUCUUCAGCUGUCAAAAAAGAGACUGCUUUGCUCAUGAAAGAUGAUGGGAUGGGAUGCAUCAGUCCAUAGCUGUACACCCCAGUCACACAGAGUAGGAGUCAGCAAACAUUUGAGUGCCAUUCAGAGAGGAGACACACACACCCAAUCCUAAACCUAUGAAAUGGCAACAACAAAAGGAGAAAAUAUAUCUUUUGAAAACACGGCCAUCUACUUGGAACAUUCCAUAGUGUGACAUAGAGUAACUCUGCUUAGGAUUAUUUCAUUGAUCCCCAGGGUCCAAUUGCCCAGUGCUCAGUCAAAGCCCAAGGUGGAAGACAAGUGCUUCCCUGAUGAGCUGAUGAGCUGGCCUCUCUGCAGACUGCUCCAUACCCUGUGCUGUCCUGCCUCAGAUGCAGAGAGAGCACAAGGCUCCCGCUCUCCUCGUCCUCGGUGCGCCUGUGUUCUUGCUACCAUCACAGCUGAAUGCAAUGAAAGGCGGUCCUCUGAGAGGAGCAGGGUGGAGAUGCUAAAGUGGAGGCCCCCUCCCAUUGCUGAUAGAUCCUCAUCUGGCAUGCGCUCCACCCUCCCCAUUCUCUGCUCCCACAUAUCGUAGCCCCAUCACAGAAGAUGCGACAUGGAAAAAAGCACUGUGUCCACCCUAGUUCUUAAAUUUGGGCAGGGAUUUGGGGUGUAUGUUAAGAGUUUUUCAAAUUUGCCAGAUUGCAUGCCUAUGUUGUUAAAUACACAGUGAAUCUCUGGUAUGAUAACAGUUUCUGGAUAAACAUUACUUGAGGUCCUAAAAUGCAGAAGGGAAAAAGCAACUUUUGUCAGAUGCCUACUUUGCUUUCAUUUCAUCUCUAAUAUUUUGGAUGGGGAAUCAGCCAAAGCUUCUGACUGCAUGAAGGUCAAGUGUGCCAGUGUGCAGCUGGGUUUCUUUUCCAGAAUUAAAAGUAUUUUGGGUGGUGGUGAGGGUCAGAGGAAGAAGUAAAGAUUGUGAGAAAGUGGAAGAAGCAUGGGCUUGGGGAGAACCCAGAAUUGGGGCCAGAAGACCUGGCACUAGGCUACAGCACUUAGCACCUCUGAUCUUGUUUUUCUUCAUCUGUAAAAGGAGGUUAACAAAGCUUUUCUGCCCACUUCUUGGGGAGAAGGGAAUAAUAUAAUUGGUAAAAAAAAAAAAAAAAAGUUUUGAAAAAUAAGCAACACUGACUUUAUGUAACCAAGCAUUAUUAAUUCUCCACCCCAUAUCACUGGUAGAUACCUGUAUUCAAGCUAUCUGGACAUGAAAGUAGUCACAUUUUAGAAGUCAUGAAGUUGAUGCUAAUAAACCUAAUCUACAGAAACACUCUUGAAAGCCCUUGAGCAUUUGUUCUGUGAACAGAAAGGUUUGAGAUUCAGAGCAAGUUCAGAGUUGGAUGGUCUAAGAAUGGAAAAGCCCUCCAUUCUAUUAGAAGAGCCAGGUAGCAAUUUCUGGUUAUGGAACCAGAAGCUCUCAGGCUUCAAAUAAAACAGCAUCACUUGUACUCUUAUAAAACUGUAAAAACAGAAAAACCGAAACCGUAUCUACAUCUGUCCUAUAAGGCAGAGAGUACUUGAGACCUCAUGAAUUUAAAACCACCUUACAAACUACUUUGCACUAUAUGAAGAAAUUAUCACUGUGGGCAAAGCAUCAAGCAGAGAGCACAGUACACAGUGUGUGGAUGUUAAUGUUAUUCUCUAGCCUUCCCAUUCCUUUGUCUUGGUCCUUUGUGCAUAUGGAACAGUUCUAUUAUUAAAUUUUGUAAUAGUAACUGAGAACCUGACUCUCAGCAAGGGAGUAGUUCAGAAAUUGAGGGAGUUUAACUCUGAAUGAGUAAAUAAAAAUAAAGCAAUUAUGUCAUUAGCUUAAAAUUUUAUCAUCAUUAAAAAUAAAAAGUUUAAAAACAAAUACUUAAUGUAACAAUUUAUCACCGCGCAAUUUGGACUCACGACAAUGUAUGGUGUUUGUCAGACAUGCACUGUUGCAAUGCAGCUUGACUGUCUUGCAGACAGCCUCAAUGCUGUUUUUAAGUUGGCAGAGGCAGCAGGCCAUAUGGCUAGGUAAGAUCCUAUAGAUGAAAACAGAGAGCAAUAAAUUAGCGGUAAAGCGGUUACUUGAGUAGGUAAAG
rnacentral:lncRNA from 1 species